rnacentral:rRNA from 1 species
UACGGAGGAUGCGAGCGUUAUCCGGAUUUAUUGGGUUUAAAGGGUGCGUAGGUGGACGCUUAAGUCAGCGGUAAAAUUGCGGGGCUCAACCUCGUCGAGCCGUUGAAACUGGGUGCCUUGAGUGGGCGAGAAGUACGCGGAAUGCGUGGUGUAGCGGUGAAAUGCAUAGAUAUCACGCAGAACUCCGAUUGCGAAGGCAGCGUACCGGCGCCCAACUGACGCUGAAGCACGAAGGCGUGGGUAUCGAACAGG